rnacentral:rRNA from 1 species
CACGUAGGGUGCGAGCGUUGUCCGGAAUUAUUGGGCGUAAAGAGCUCGUAGGCGGUUUGUUGCGUCGGCUGUGAAAUCCCGAGGCUCAACCUCGGGUCUGCAGUCGAUACGAGCAAACUAGAGUGUUGCAGGGGAGACUGGAAUUCCUGGUGUAGCGGUGAAAUGCGUAGAUAUCAAGAGGAACACCUGAGGUGAAGACGGGUUGCUGGGCCAACACUGACGCUGAGGCGCGAAAGCCAGGGGAGCAAACGGG